ACGAUUAUGACGAAAUUGGUAGCCGUGUGAAUCUUAGGAAUUCAUAAUCUUUUGAUUGUAAGAGUUCGAGUCUCUUUAAUCGUA